rnacentral:rRNA from 1 species
UACGAAGGGGGCUAGCGUUGUUCGGAAUUACUGGGCGUAAAGCGCACGUAGGCGGACUUUCAAGUCAGGGGUGAAAUCCCGGGGCUCAACCUCGGAACUGCCUUUGAUACUGUUAGUCUUGAGCUCGGAAGAGGUGGGUGGAAUUCCUAGUGUAGAGGUGAAAUUCAUAGAUAUUAGGAAGAACACCGGUGGCGAAGGCGGCCCACUGGUCCGAUGCUGACGCUGAGGUGCGAAAGCGUGGGGAGCAAACAGG